AGAAUCAACGCUGGCGGCGUGCCUAACACAUGCAAGUCGAACGAGAAAGGGGAGCAAUCCCUGAGUAAAGUGGCGCACGGGUGAGUAACACGUGACUAACCUACCCUGGAGUGGGGGAUAACUGAGGGAAACCUUAGCUAAUACCGCAUAAUACCUACGGGUCAAAGGAGCAAUUCGCUUCAGGAGGGGGUCGCGGCCGAUUAGUUAGUUGGCGGGGUAAUGGCCCACCAAGACUGUGAUCGGUA
rnacentral:rRNA from 1 species